rnacentral:tmRNA from 1 species
GGGGAUGUAAAUGGUUUCGACAGUAAUGUAGAAACAUAGGUAGCGAGUAGUGGAUUCUCGUUGGCCACUUAAAAAAACGGGAAAUUAAAUUAAACGCUGAUAAUAGAUUAGCAUACGCUGCCUAGUUGCAGUGUCGUCUUACUAUAAAGCCUACUGGUAUAGAUAAGGCGUCGAUUAAAGUAGGAAACAAAAUUAUUUCUUGUCUUGGAAAUAAUGGGUAAUUUAAAGACUACUGAUAAAUUAUGUUUGUUUAUUAAUGUAAUUUAGAGGGAAUUUUAAUAAUAAACUACACUCGUAGAAGUCUAUGUGGAAAUGUUAUUGGACGAGGGUUCGACUCCCUCCAUCUCCACCA